UUGAUCUCUUCGAGAACAUAUCUUAUAGGUGACAUGGUUGUGGUGCUCCUGCAGCAGAGGUACCACACUUAUAUGGACGAUUUGAAUGCAACCAUUCCCCCAUGAAAUAGUUGGGUUAAGGAAGACGUUAGAUGUCAGGUCAACGGAAGAGAUCGGUUUCGGGAAAAGUUUUCGUGUGGUUAGUGAUGAUAUGUCAUCUUACGUUAUUUUCAACAUGUUUUUCGGUCAUUUUAGGAAUCAAUAAAGAUGGGUUUUAGAGAAGUAUCACAUGGUUAAAGUCACAUUUUGUAAUGUAUUCAAAUCGAGUUAUGUAAUUAUGUUUCUCCUCUAAACAAGACAAUUAACCAAAAGAGAAGACUUUGAUCCUCCCCCUUGGCUUAUAAAAGGCUUUCAAGAUGUUGUCAAUUAUUAUGACCUUUGCAACCUUCCCCUUGAUGGAUACCAAUGUACUUGGUUUAAUAGUAUGUGUAGAAGUUCUUCUAAAGAGGCUAGACUUUAUAAUGGUUUUUGCACUACCUCGUACCAGAAAAUCUACCCUCCAAACUUGAUCUUGCUCACGUUGUAAAGAUCACCUUUUUAAGAUCACCGGGUUGAGUAAUGACCAGAUCACCUUUUUUAAGCAGACUUAAUUGUUGGAACAAAAUGUGUUUCACAAUAAACCUUAAUAAGUUUUGAUGAUAACAAGGUAUUAAAAAUUGUCAAUUGGUUAUUGCUAAUGAUUGUUCAAGUGUACAGGACCAUAUGCAAAGUCACUCAAUUUCAAUAGGUCUUGGAAGAACAAUGGAGAGCAAAAGAAUCCUAAGCAUCUGAAGAAAACUGCGUCUGAAGCCAAGAAAUGCUUUUGAAGUGACAAAGUGCCUUUGAAGAAAUGACGUCAUCAGAAGCAGAAGAUCAUCAGAAGCAGAAGACCAUCAUAAGCACAAUUUCAUCAGAAGCUAUAUCAUCACCAUAAGCUUCAAGUGAACAGUUAAUUUAAACUGAAGAUUCAAAGAAGCUGUUUUUCGUUUCAACCUCGUCUAAGAGAACGAAGAAUUGAAAGGGAGGUAUCAACGGUCAUUUUAAAAGCACUGAGUAUUUGUCCUUCAUUAUCAGAGUUGACAAAGUACAAGUGUACAACCACUACCUCCACUACUCUGUUUUUGUCUACGCUACAAGACAAGACAACAGCCAUGCCUGCAGAAAUGUUCCUUCAAGAUGGGAAUGAAUUUGAAGUCGAUUCUUCAAAGGACUACACCCAAAUCAGGCAAAAGAUUACUGGUGGAUGAUCAAAGGAACUCAACGACUCUUUAGACGUGCUAAAAAUAUCAACGUCUCUUUCACACCUCUAUAUAAAGGAGUGAGGACUUGAAGAUUGGCAAGAGACAUCAAUACAAGUUAAAAGCGCCAAAACUCUGCCAAAUUUGAUUCUACAAAGCACCUUGAAUUUCUGCACUGAUUUGAUACAUCUUAGAAAUUCACAAGUCUAGAGUCUUUAUUGCAUUGUAUUGAGAAAACCACUGAUUGUAUAUCAAGUGUUCAUCAUCAAACAUUUUCUCUGUAUUUUUGUUUGAAUAGAAGCCUCUUGCCUGCGUGCUUGAGCAUUAGUAGAC
rnacentral:lncRNA from 1 species